UUGGAGGGCAAGUCUGGUGCCAGCAGCCGCGGUAAUUCCAGCUCCAAUAGCGUAUAUUAAAGUUGUUGCAGUUAAAAAGCUCGUAGUUGAAUUUCGGGGUUAGUAGGUUGGUCAUGCCUCUGGUAUGCACUGGCCUCACUGAUUCCUCCUUCCUGAUGAGCCGUAAUGCCAUUAAUUUGGUGUUGCGGGGAAUUUGGACUGUUACUUUGAAAAAAUUAGAGUGUUUAAAGCAAGCUAACGCUUGAAUACAUUAGCAUGGAAUAAUGAAAUAGGACGUUCGAUCCUAUUUUGUUGGUUUCUAGGAUUGACGUAAUGAUUAAUAGGGAUAGUUGGGGGCAUUAGUAUUCAAUUGUCAGAGGUGAAAUUCUUGGAUUUAUUGAAGACUAACUACUGCGAAAGCAUUCGCCAAGGAUGUUUUCAUUAAUCAAGAACGAAAGUUAGGGGAUCGAAGACGAUCAGAUACCGUCGUAGUCUUAACCAUAAACUAUGCCGACUAGGGAUCGGAUGAUGUUAAUUUUUUAAUGACUCAUUCGGCGCCUUACGGGAAAC
rnacentral:rRNA from 1 species